rnacentral:rRNA from 1 species
UACGUAGGUGGCAAGCGUUGUCCGGAUUUAUUGGGUUUAAAGGGUGCGUAGGCGGUUUUUUAAGUCAGUGCUGAAAUACUCCAGCUUAACUGGAGGGGGUGGCAUUGAUACUGGAAGACUUGAGUACAGAUGAGGUAGGCGGAAUUGACGGUGUAGCGGUGAAAUGCAUAGAUAUCGUCAAGAACACCGAUAGCGAAGGCAGCUUACUGGGCUGUAACUGACGCUGAUGCACGAAAGUGUGGGGAUCAAACAGG